CCCGUCCCCGUCUCUCGUAUUUGUGGUCUCCUUGUCUCCUCUCUUUCUCUCCCCUUUUUCCCUUCCCCCUUCUCUGUCUCUUGCUUGGUGUUGGUUUUCUGUGUGUCUCUGUGUGUCCCCGUGCCACCCCCUGUGCUGUGCCCCAAAACUCUGCCUGGCUGGUGCCUGGCUUCUCUCUUGAGGGCAUCUGUCACCUCUUCUGCUUGGUCAUCUGGUCAUCUGUGUUCCUCUUUUUUUCUUCCUGGCCCCACCUUGCUUUCUCUACCCUCCUCUCCCGAUCCCCCACUUCUCCCUCUCUCCCCUGGGCCCCGAUGUCUUGGACUCUCCUACCAGUGGCGCUUGAGGCUACAAGUCCAAGUAUCUUCAGCUCAAGAAGAAGUUAGAAGAUGAGUUCCCCGGCCGCCUGGACAUCGUGAGUCUUGGGAUGGGGAGAAAGACUUGAGCACAGCCACUGGGUCGGUCCGUUAGGCCUGGAUGGCACUGCAGGGGGGUUAGUGCGGCGAGGGAACUCCCCAGGCCACCGGGUUCUUUGAAGUGAUGGUAGCCGGGAAGUUGAUUCACUCUAAGAAGAAAGGCGAUGGCUACGUGGACACAGAAAGCAAGUUUCUGAAGCUGGUGGCCGCCAUCAAAGCCGCCUUGGCUCAGGGCUAAUGCGCCCUGAAGGCAGAGUCCAGGGACCUUGACCCAGCCCCUCUCAGCAGACGCUUCAUGAUAGGAAGGACUGAAAAAUCUUGUGGACACCUGGUCUUUCCCUGAUGUUCUCGUGGCUGCUGUUGGGGGCAGAGAUUGACGCCCCUGGUCUUUGCCUCUGUGUGAGAGAGUCUGUGUGUAUGUGUCUUCCCCGGAAUCCACACCACCCCACCCUCCUCCUGUCCCGUGGUUUCAUCAUAUCUCUUUGCAUACCCCAUGUCUUCCCCAGUUGUCCCCUGGAGUUUGGGGGGACAUCCCGCCUCAGGCAUCCUUCUCAAGGGGAAGCCAAGAGAGGCAUCAGGAUGGGUGGGUUUCUGAUUGUGGCGACGUUUGCAACC
rnacentral:sRNA from 1 species